AAGCCCCCCUCCCCCCCAAAAAAAGAUAUGUGUGUGUGUGUGUGUGUAUAUAUAGGUCAAUGCAACCUUUUCACCUGGCUACUUCAGUUUAAAGAUGUUUCAUGUUAUAAAAUCUACAUAGCUAAGCAAACACCGUUCAUUUUAUAAGAGAGCUGGUUUUAAAUUGAGGAGUCAGGGUAAUGGCCAAAAGCAGUUUCUGACUUCUGGAAGUAUAAAAUCAGCUAGCUAAUGGCAUACUUUUCAGCUGAUUAAUUUUUUUUUCUUGCUGGGACAUCUGGUAUCAUUUGAGAACUGUCCAAUAUGAAUAUCUGAAGCAGAUGGGAACAGCAUGGAAGAUGUCACAUUGGCUUGUGGUUGCUUACCUAAGAAAACGUUGAUACUAUUUAUGUCAGAGAAUGUUUUGGAGCCUGGCUACUUUAUAAUGCUAAUGGAUGCUUCCUGAGGGAUUGAAGCCUUAGUUUCCGAUUGGACUGGUAAAGCAUGUCAUAUGUUUUGAAGCAGGCAAGAGGAUAUAGGACAAAACUCUCCAAAAAGUGAGUCAUAUACAAAAAUCAUUCUUCUAGGGGCAAAGCCUGAGAUUCUGUGAUGCAAGAGAGCAGAGAAAAAACUCUAUAUAUUCACCAUAUUCCAAUGUGUAACAGUGCUACUUCAUUUAAUAACCUUGUUGCAUCCUAUCUUCUCCCUGGAAAGAGAUAGGUGACAGCAUGACAUUGCUCAAUGGAAGAUUUUUCUGGUUUUCAUCAUGUCAAACAAUCACUACAUAGUAAACUGAAUGGUAAAAUGACAAAGGGGAUAAACAAGUCUAUGAGCCCAGCUACAGAAUGGGGACUUUGCAUUUGCUGUGACACAAAACAACAACAAUCUCUUGAUGUUUAUUAUAUCAAAACUUCAUUAUCUCUCUGGACUAUUACUGUCCUAAUGGACUCUAUACAUUUUGUUACAACUUCACUUACCUCCGUGAUACAUCAAUAAUGAUGUAUUGCUACGAAUACUGCACUGUCCACAAGGAUGGGGGAAAUUGUGAUUAAUACAUGCUGUGAAAGUGCUACACUAAAUAUGCCAGCAAAUUUGGAAAACUCAGCAGUGGCCA